rnacentral:tRNA from 1 species
GCCGGGAUGGCGGAACUGGUAGACGCGCCGGACUCAAAAUCCGGUUUCUGUGAGGAAGUGGGGGUUCGAUUCCCCCUCCCGGCACCA